rnacentral:rRNA from 1 species
GUGAGGAAUAUUGGUCAAUGGGCGAGAGCCUGAACCAGCCAAAUCGCGUGAAGGAUGAAGGUAUUAUGUAUUGUAAACUUCUUUUAUCGGGGAAUAAAGUGCGGGACGUGUCCCGUUUUGUAUGUACCCGAAGAAUAAGGAUCGGCUAACUCCGUGCCAGCAGCCGCGGUAAUACGGAGGAUCCAAGCGUUAUCCGCAUUUAUUGGGUUUAAAGGGUGCGUAGGCGGACUGUCAAGUCAGCGGUGAAAGUCCAUGGCUCAACCAUGGAAUUGCCGUUGAAACUGUCGGUCUGGAGUGUAGAUGAGGUAGGCGGAAUUCGUAGUGUAGCGGUGAAAUGCUUAGAUAUUACGAAGAACUCCAAUUGCGUAGGCAGCUUACCAGGCUACAACUGACGCUGAGGCACGAAGGUGCGGGGAUCAAACAGGAUUAGAAACCCGGGUAGUCC